rnacentral:rRNA from 1 species
CGAACGCUGACGGCGUGCUUAACACAUGCAAGUCGCACGAGAAAGUCCGCCUUCGGGUGGAUAAGUAAAGUGGCGCACGGGUGAGUAACACGUGGGUAAUCUGCCUUUAAGUUUGGGAUAACACUGCGAAAGCGGUGCUAAUACCGAAUAUGCUUACGGUUUUAUUUCUGUGAGAAAAGGUGGCCUCUGUUUCAAGCUAUCGCUUAGAGAUGAGCCCGCGUACCAUUAGCUUGUUGGUGGGGUAAAGGCCUACCAAGGCGAUGAUGGUUAGCUGGCCUGAGAGGGCGGCCAGCCACACUGGAACUGAGACACGGUCCAGACUCCUACGGGAGGCAGCAGUGGGGAAUAUUGCGCAAUGGGGGAAACCCUGACGCAGCGACGCCGUGUGAGUGAUGAAGGUUUUCGGAUCGUAAAGCUCUGUCAGAUGGGAAGAAUAAGACCAUAUAAAAUAUAUAUGGACGAUGACGGUACCAUCAGAGGAAGCACCGGCUAACUCC